rnacentral:misc_RNA from 1 species
GAUACUGGAUCUAUAUGGCCUUGUUUUUUGGAAGUUUUUGCUAUGGCAAAUUUUGUUGACAUGUUUCACAAAGGAAAAACUUUCAGGCCCAGGAAGAAGUUUGAGCCUGGGACCUUAAAGUUUUCUCUCCACAAGCGUGCACAAGCAUCACUGAACUCGGGAAUAGACUUGAAACAUGUAGUCAGACUUCCUCCUAGAGAACACUUGAAUGAUUGGGUGGCAGUCCAUGUGGUUGAUUUCUUCAAUCGUAUCAACUUAAUCUAUGGGUCUGUCACAGAUUUUUGCCGGGAAGAUACUUGUCCUACAAUGUCAGGAGGACCAAAGUUCGAAUACUUGUGGGCUGACAGGAGUAAGUACAAGAAACCAACUCCUCUGCCAGCACCACAGUACAUUGCGUUACUAAUGGACUGGGUGGAGGAACAGAUAAAUAAUGAGGAGAUAUUCCCUGUUACAUUUGAUGUUCCCUUCCCGAAGAACUUCAUUCCUACGUGCAAGAAGAUCCUUACACGAUUGUUCAGAGUGUUCGUCCAUAUCUACAUACAUCACUUCGAGAGUCUGGUGGCUAUUGGAGCUGAAGCCCAUGUGAAUACUUGUUACAAACAUUUCUACUAUUUUAUCAGAGAGUUUGGCCUUGUGAGCCAGCGAGAACUGGAACCACUGGUCGAUCGAAAUCGACGGACUUGAAACCUCAGACUGUUAAAAUCGUUGUCGAAACCAUUAAGACGAUGUCUACACCGCCAGUUAUAAUCCACGGACCAAUCAUCGACUUUUCUCCCCGAGAAGUUGCGGAGUUUACCCGCAACUAUAAGCCUAAAGUCCGCAUAAUUCCUGAGAAUUUUAGAAGACUCCUAUAACCUAGAUCUCCCGUAGAUCUAAAAUAUACGUGCCAACCAAGGAAUUCUAAUCCACCCGUGAAAUACCAACCCCCCAAAAAAGCAGUGCCAACCAUGUAAUUCUAAUCCACCCGUGAAAUACCAACCCCCCAAAAAGCAGUGCCAACCAUGGAAUUCUAAUCCACCCGUGAAAUACCAACCCCCCAAAAAAAGCAGUGCCAACCAUGGAAUUCUAAUCCACCCGUGAAAUACCAACCCCCCAAAAAGCAGUGCCAACCAUGGAAUUCUAAUCCACCCGUGAAAUACCAACCCCCCCCCCCAAAAAAAAAAGUAUUGCUUUUAGGUGUUUAGUGUUUAAUAGAUAUGGUUAAAUAUAUCUCUAGUAGUAUAAUAUAUGUUGUAGAACACUAGAGAGAUAAAUCUGAAGCAGUUUAAUAUCUAUAUGUUUUGUAACUGAAUAUGAUACAUGAAGCGAUUCUAGUGAGUGCUUUACCAUCUUAACCAAAUAUUGUGGUGAGUGCUUUACUAUCCUAACUAAAUAUUGUGGUGAGUGCUUUACUAUCCUAACUAAAUAUUGUGGUGAGUGCUUUACUAUCCUAACUAAAUAUUGUGGUGAGUGCUUUACUAUCCUAACUAAAUAUUCGUAAAACACUUCUUAAGAACUCCGACUCCCCAUUUAUCACAGUCUACAAAGACGAAUUAAUCUAGAGUGAGGUACUGGUGUUAAAAACCGUUAUUUAAACCAGUAUGGGAAGGCUAAUUUCAAGAGUUAUGGUUUUGGUGUAUCAGAUGUGUUUAAACAGAAGAAACCACAAAGACGACAGUCAAGAUGCUAAUGUUUAUUUCUUUAGUGACCUCAUCACAUAAAUUUCACUAGUAGAGUUUUUAUCGGAUUUGUCAACUAGCUGAACACAAUGCAUGCCUGACAUAAACUACAGUACAGAGAACACGUGUGAGUCACAGUUUUGUAUUUCAUCUUGCAUAAUGAUCAGCAUGAACCAUGUGCUAACAACAGGAUUUAUAAAGAACAUUGCUGUCUACACUCUCAGGAAGUAUUACAUAGUAACUUAAGUAUCAUUAGAGUAGUGCAGUGAAGAAUGAAAACUAGGGUGAAUAAAGAACAACUUAAGUAUCAUUAGAGUAGUGCAGGGAAGAAUGAAAACUAGGGUGAAUAAAGAACAACUUAAGUAUCAUUAGAGUAGUGCAGUGAAGAAUGAAAACUAGGGUGAAUAAAGAACAACUUAAGUAUCAAUAGAGUAGUGCAGGGAAGAAUGAAAACUAGGGUGAAUAAAGAACAACUUAAGUAUCAAUAGAGUAGUGCAGUGAAGAAUGAAAACUAGGGUGAAUAAAGAACAACUUAAGUAUCAAUAGAGUAGUGCAGUGAAGAAUGAAAACUAGGGUGAAUAAAGAACAACUUAAGUAUCAUUAGAGUAGUACAGUGAAGAAUGAAAACUAGGAUGAGUAAAGAACAACUUAAGUAUCAUUAGAGUAGUGCAGUGAAGAAUAAAAACAAUGGUGAAUAAAGAACAGCUUAAGUAUCAGUAGAGUAGUACAGGAACGAAUCAAACAGGGUUGAGCGAAGAGCACUGUGUUAGUGGACAACAACUCUGGUAAAUCCAAAUUAUUUGAUAACUUGGAAUUUUCGUAUCCUUAACACCUUCAAGUCGCCUCCUGAGAGAGCAGAACACAGUAAUAAGUUAAACAUUUUCUAUUUCCAUAACACCAACUUAAUGUAACAUUUAAAAUGAUGAAUUGUACUGAAAUAAUGUUACACGUGACACUGUAUAAUCUCGGACCAGCGGUUUAGAUAAGUUAUACAAUCAACAAGUAUUUUCUACAGAGACUAAUAAUUAUACACGUCAACGUUGAGUAUUUUUGUUAAACUUACAGGAAAACUAAUACCUAUUAACUCUAGCAAAGAAAACUUGGUAUACAGUAGAUUUUAAUUUACACUGACAAAAGUUACGAGCUAACACUGCUAGGUGCAAUACCCGUAUUAUCUCUAACGAAAAGAAGAAAUAUUGAAAACUAGGGGAUGAAAGUUCCCUAACAAUUUCUUUUUAGACAUUUUGAAUAAACAUAAAAAAAUAAUAAUGUUAGUGCAUAAUACAAUAGCAUUUAAAAUGCAUUAUUUAAUUCUGAAAUAAUAGCCUUUUGUUUUCUUAUUUUCUGUGACGAUUUAUCGCCAAUUAGAAACGAGGGAAAAUUACGUAAAACUAAGAUCUUUCAACCUUUGUAUAUACAACGAACACCUGUCACGGAACUUAAGUCGCUGAAGGUUGUGACGUCAUGGGCUAGAAACGUAACACUUUAAUUACAAACAGAAAAAGCUAUGAGCUCAUAGGGAUAACCCUCGAUCUUCUGAUGAGUUAAUUAGUUACUGGUUCUCCUCCAACAACAGAAUAGUCUGUUAAACUAACUUAAGACUUAAAAAGUCCGUACUAAGGAUAAAGCAGUUCUACUUUACCCGAACUGAUAUUCCAAUUUUAUUACACCUACCAUGUCGAACAUAAGACAGCAUAAUGUGAUGAAGAUUGUCAGAAAGCUUUAGCUUAAGAGUCCUAGUGUACCAUAAGUUAGAAAAAUAUAUAUACAGUGGCAGUUUUUCAUUACCAUUUUAAACGGAUCCUGAUUUCCAUUAAAAAAAGUGUUUGUGUUGAACAAUCAUAAUUUACCAUAUAUUAAAAUACUGCGUCAUUCAGUCUUGGUUUAUCAGUUAAUCAGAUCAAGGUUUCCACAAAGAAACACGUUUGUGUCAAAUAAUCAUAAUAUAUCAUACAGUGUAAAAUACUUCAGUCUGUCAGGGUUUAUCAGUUUAUUUUAAUCAAGAUAUCCACAAAGAAACAGGUUUGAGUCACAUCAAAAUUGCUGCACACUUACAUUUGAAGAAACAGGUUUGAAGUCACAUCAAGGUUGCUUCACACUUACAUUUUAAGAAACAGGUUUGAGUCACAUAAAACUUGCUGCCCACUUACAUUUUAAGAAACAGGUUUGAAGUCACAUCAAAGUUGCUGCACACUUACAUUUUAAGAAACAGGUUUGAGUCACAUCAAACUGGCAUGUUACAUUUUAAGGUUAUUGAAUAAAAGUACGUUAUCCAAAGAAUGUCCGAAUCCGUUGUACAUUUUUACAAGUAAUCAAACACUGUGAGGUGUAUAUUACAUUCAAUGUUUUCUAUAACUUCCUAACUAAGACACACAUGUCGCUACAGUC